rnacentral:rRNA from 1 species
GGUGAACGCUGGCGGCGCGCCUCAUACAUGCAAGUCGAGCGAGAGCUCUUCUCCCGUAAGGGAGGGGAGUUUCUAGCGGCAAACGGGUGAGUAACACGUGGGCAACCUACCCUGUCGUGGGGAAUAACUCCGGGAAACCGGGGCUAAUGCCGCAUGUGGUCGUCGAAGGCAUCUUCGGCGAAGAAAGCAGUAAUGCGCGACAGGAUGGGCCCGCGACCUAUCAGCUAGUUGGUGGGGUAACGGCCUACCAAGGCAAUGACGGGUAGCUGGUCUGAGA